AAUUGCUUCUGGCAGCGGAUCUGGACGUGACCAGGAUUUGGCUGUUACCUUUUGACUGACAGGUCUUUUCACUCCCAGACAGGAGAGCUGUCCAUUUUUUGGCUGAAAAUCCCAAGUUAUGUCUCUGUUGCUCGUGACGAACCACCGAAGGAUGAGAAGUUGCUCCUAAAUUAAAAAAACACGCAAACAAGCCAGCCAUCAUGGGUUUAGUGAUUUCCAGCGAUGGUGCAUCCGCAGCAACGUGGAGUGAGUUGUUCCAAUGGUUAAUUAUGCUGAUGAAGUCAAUGGAGUUACUGUAAACUCAGUUUAUACCAGUGUGACUGAAUACAAAAUUUGGCCUAGUUACCAGAAAAGGGUAGCACUUUGAAGUCGCUGUAUUUCUUUAAAUAAAAUUAUUCUCCUGUGAAAGA